CCAAAACAGGGGUGCAGAAGCUGGGGCAUGGUGCUGGGGUGUGAUGCAGUGUGGUGGGCCCCUCCCUGAGAGGGGGCAGCGGUGUGCAGCAGAGGAUCCCCUGUGCUGGGGGGGGGGCAGGGGCA